UACGUAGGGUGCAGGCGUUACUCGGAAUUACUGGGCUUAAAGCGUGCGCAGGCGGUUUGCUAAGUCAGGUGUGAAAUCCCCGGGCUUAACCUGGGAACUGCGCUUGUAACUGGCAAGCUAGAGUGUGGCAGAGGGGGGUGGAAUUCCACGUGUAGCAGUGAAAUGCGUAGAGAUGUGGAGGAACACCGAUGGCGAAGGCAGCCCCCUGGGCUAACACUGACGCUCAUGCACGAAAGCGUGGGGAGCAAACAGG
rnacentral:rRNA from 1 species